rnacentral:rRNA from 1 species
GAUGAACGCUGGCGGCGUGCCUAAUACAUGCAAGUCGAGCGAACGGACGAGAAGCUUGCUUCUCUGAUGUUAGCGGCGGACGGGUGAGUAACACGUGGAUAACCUACCUAUAAGACUGAGAUAACUUCGGGAAACCGGAGCUAAUACCGGAUAAUAUUUUGAACCGCAUGGUUCAAAAGUGAAAGACGGUCUUGCUGUCACUUAUAGAUGGAUCCGCGCCGCAUUAGCUAGUUGGUAAGGUAACGGCUUACCAAGGCAACGAUGCAUAGCCGACCUGAGAGGGGGAUCGGCCACACUGGAACUGAGACCCGGUCCAGACUCCUACGGGGGGCAGCAGUAGGGAAUCUGCCGCAAUGGGCGAAAGCCUGACGGAGCAACGCCGCGUGAGUGAUGAAGGUCGUCGGAUCGUAAAACUCUGUUAUUAGGGAAGAACAUAUGUGUAAGUAACUGUGCACAUCUUGACGGUACCAAAUCAGAAAGCCACGGCUAACUACG